rnacentral:rRNA from 1 species
GACGAACGCUGGCGGCGUGCUUAACACGUGCAAGUCGAACGGAAAGGCCCUGCUUUUGUGGGGUGCUCGAGUGGCGAACGGGUGAGUAACACGUGAGUAACCUGCCCUUGACUUUGGGAUAACUUCAGGAAACUGGGGCUAAUACCGGAUAGGAGCUCCUGCUGCAUGGUGGGGGUUGGAAAGUUUCGGCGGUUGGGGAUGGACUCGCGGCUUAUCAGCUUGUUGGUGGGGUAGUGGCUUACCAAGGCUUUGACGGGUAGCCGGCCUGAGAGGGUGACCGGCCACAUUGGGACUGAGAUACGGCCCAGACUCCUACGGGAGGCAGCAGUGGGGAAUAUUGCACAAUGGGCGGAAGCCUGAUGCAGCAACGCCGCGUGCGGGAUGACGGCCUUCGGGUUGUAAACCGCUUUCGCCUGUGACGAAGCGUGAGUGACGGUAAUGGGUAAAGAAGCACCGGCUAACUACGUGCCAGCAGCCGCGGUGAUACGUAGGGUGCGAGCGUUGUCCGGAUUUAUUGGGCGUAAAGGGCUCGUAGGUGGUUGAUCGCGUCGGAAGUGUAAUCUUGGGGCUUAACCCUGAGCGUGCUUUCGAUACGGGUUGACUUGAGGAAGGUAGGGGAGAAUGGAAUUCCUGGUGGAGCGGUGGAAUGCGCAGAUAUCAGGAGGAACACCAGUGGCGAAGGCGGUUCUCUGGGCCUUUCCUGACGCUGAGGAGCGAAAGCGUGGGGAGCGAACAGGCUUAGAUACCCUGGUAGUCCACGCUGUAAACGGUGGGUACUAGGUGUGGGGUCCAUUCCACGGGUUCCGUGCCGUAGCUAACGCUUUAAGUACCCCGCCUGGGGAGUACGGCCGCAAGGCUAAAACUCAAAGGAAUUGGCGGGGCCCCGCACAAGCGGCGGAGCAUGCGGAUUAAUUCGAUGCAACGCGUAGAACCUUACCUGGGUUUGACAUGGAUCGGGAGUGCUCAGAGAUGGGUGUGCCUCUUUUGGGGUCGGUUCACAGGUGGUGCAUGGCUGUCGUCAGCUCGUGUCGUGAGAUGUUGGGUUAAGUCCCGCAACGAGCGCAACCCUUGUUCACUGUUGCCAGCACGUUAUGGUGGGGACUCAGUGGAGACCGCCGGGGUCAACUCGGAGGAAGGUGGGGAUGACGUCAAGUCAUCAUGCCCCUUAUGUCCAGGGCUUCACGCAUGCUACAAUGGCUGGUACAGAGAGUGGCGAGCCUGUGAGGGUGAGCGAAUCUCGGAAAGCCGGUCUCAGUUCGGAUUGGGGUCUGCAACUCGACCUCAUGAAGUCGGAGUCGCUAGUAAUCGCAGAUCAGCAACGCUGCGGUGAAUACGUUCCCGGGGCU